UACGUAGGGCGCGAGCGUUGUCCGGAAUCAUUGGGCGUAAAGAGCUCGUAGGCGGCUUGUUGCGUCGACCGUGAAAACCCGGGGCUCAACUUCGGGCUUGCGGUCGAUACGGGCGGGCUAGAGUUCGGUAGGGGAGACUGGAAUUCCUGGUGUAGCGGUGAAAUGCGCAGAUAUCAGGAGGAACACCGGUGGCGAAGGCGGGUCUCUGGGCCGAUACUGACGCUGAGGAGCGAAAGCGUGGGGAGCGAACAGG
rnacentral:rRNA from 1 species